UAUUUUCAGCGAUGGAUGUCUUGGCUCGCGCAACGAUGAAGGACGCAGUGAAAUGCGAAACGCAAUGUGAAUUGCAGAAUUCAGGGAAUCAUCAGGUUUCUGAACGCAAAUGGCACCUU
rnacentral:rRNA from 1 species